rnacentral:ncRNA from 1 species
AAAUAUGAAAUUAAAAUCCUGGCUUAGGAUGAAUGCAGCAUGCUUAACACAUGCAAGUCGGACGGGAAGUGGUGCUUUCAGUGGUGAACGGGUGAGUAACGUGUAAGAACCUGCCUUUGGGAGGAGAGCAACAGCUGGAAAUGGCUGCUAAUAUCCCGUAGGCUGAGGAGCAAAAGGAGGAAUCCGC